GUGAAAUUAUAGAUAUCGGUUUAGGUCAAAAGAUGCACCUGAUGUGCAAAGGACAAGGACAGCCAGUUGUCCUACUGGAUGCCCCCACUGGUAUGUCCUCUGACAUCUGGUUCCAUGUACAAGAGAACAUUGCACUGCUAACCAAGGUGUGCACUUAUGACAGAGUGGGACUGGGGUUCAGCAAAAGAGUCCUGCAGAAUGAAAGUACAGGGACGGAGA